CGCAUCUGUGCAUGCAGCAUAUCAAUAAGCGGAGGAAAAGUACCUACGCUUAGGAUGUUGACACACGCGCGUUGCCUCGACUCUACACAUGACUCUGUGCAUAUCAAUAAGCGGAGGAAAAGAAACUAACAAGGAUUCCCCUAGUAACGGCGAGUGAAGCGGGAAGAGCUCAAAUUUGAGAUCUUAAAGGUUUUACCUUGACGAAUUGUAGUUUAAAGAAGUGUUUUCUGUUGAGGUUUUGGUAAAAGUUCUUUGGAAUAGGACAUCAUAGAGGGUGAGAAUCCCGUAUUUGACCAUCUACUUUUCAGCUUUGUGAUACACUUUCAAAGAGUCGGAUUGUUUGGGAAUGCAGUCCAAAAUGGGUGGUAAAUUUCAUCUAAAGCUAAAUAUUGGCGAGAGACCGAUAGCGAACAAGUAUCCGUGAGGGAAAGAUGAAAAGAACUUUGAAAAGAGAGUUAAACAGUACGUGAAAUUGUCAAAAGGGAAGCGUUUGACAGCCAGUGUUGUUUUUCUGAAAAUCAAUUAAGGAACUGUUUAUGCUAAGCUGUUUAGACUUUAUCAGCUAUCUGUUUAGUUUUGAGCUUUUCUUUAAUGCACUUUUCAGUUAACAAGUCAACAUCAAUUUCUUUUGCUGUAAAAAAGCUUGAGGAAGGUGGCUUGAGAUUCGUCUUAAGUGUUUAUAGCCUCUUGCCUAUGCAGUCGGAGAGAUUGAGGUCUGCAGCGUAGAUCCUUCGGGGCUAGAUACAUUUGUGCUAAGUUAUAGCAUUUUUAUAGACAACUUGUUGACUAUGAUUUAGUCUUGUAGCUUACUCGCUUAUGUUAUUUUACCUACGCUUAGGAUGUUGAUAGUCACAGCGUGUAC
rnacentral:rRNA from 1 species